AGGGUACCUUGUAGGAGUUGGUUCUCUCUUUCCACUGAUGUGCCUAUGAUGUAGAACCACCUCAUCUACACCAGCGAUGCACCUUUUGAGAAAGUGGUUCUCCUGGCACCAGCCCUCAAAGUGAAAGCGCUCAUCUCUUGGGGUCCUGCCAUCUCCUGGGGUGUUCUCCAGCCCUGACCUGUGCCCCACGUGGGUUCCCUCAGCCUUAGUCACAGCCAAGCAUAGCCACUUAGGGACUUCCACAUAGGGUUCUGGGGACUGAACUCAGGCCAGCAUUUUCCCUACCGAGCCUUUCCCCAGACCUAUGGCCUUCCUGCUAAGAUCACCAGUCAUGGGAUGAGACCCUAAGACUUCUUCACUUGAUCACCUCUGUAGCGACUCUGCCCCAAGGGCUGGAGAGGUGGUUAAGAGCAUGCAGGCGAUCUGAGAAGGUGCUGUUGGAGCUGCCUCCCUCUGUCACCGCACAAGGCUCUCUGGAACCGCUGGACUUCGAGAACGAUGCAUCCUAGAAGCCAAGUGGCUUGGAAAAACGCAUUUAGGCUCAAACAAAAGGCACCAGUUGAACAAAGCCAGCAAGACACGGAGCUAAUUGGCAGCCACACUGUUUCCCCCCCUCCAGCUGCCUCUGGAAUCAGAAAACAACCAUUCGAGUGAAAGCCAUGAAAUUAAAAUGCUUUUUUAA
rnacentral:lncRNA from 1 species